CCUACGGGGGGCUGCAGUGGGGAAUAUUGGACAAUGGGGGCAACCCUGAUCCAGCCAUGCCGCGUGUGUGAAGAAGGCCCUCGGGUUGUAAAGCACUUUCAGUGAGGAAGAACGCCUGGUGGUUAAUACCCAUCAGGAAAGACAUCACUCACAGAAGAAGCACCGGCUAACUCCGUGCCAGCAGCCGCGGUAAUACGGAGGGUGCGAGCGUUAAUCGGAAUUACUGGGCGUAAAGCGCGCGUAGGUGGCUUGAUAAGCCGGUUGUGAAAGCCCCGGGCUCAACCUGGGAACGGCAUCCGGAACUGUCAAGCUAGAGUGCAGGAGAGGAAGGUAGAAUUCCCGGUGUAGCGGUGAAAUGCGUAGAGAUCGGGAGGAAUACCAGUGGCGAAGGCGGCCUUCUGGACUGACACUAACACUGAGGUGCGAAAGCGUGGGUAGCAAACAGGAUUAGAUACCCCAGUAGUC
rnacentral:rRNA from 1 species